GUUGAACGCUGGCGGCAGGCCUAACACAUGCAAGUCGAGCGAGCGGCGGACGGGUGAGUAAGGUCGGGGAACCUGCCGGAUAGAGGGGGAUAACUGCUGGAAACGGUAGCUAAUACGGCAUUCCAUCAGAUUUGCGCAGAUGGGAAUAGCUGGUAGUGGGGGUAACGGCCCACCUGGGCGACGAUCCCUAGCUGGUCGGAGAGGAGGACCAGCAAAACGGGAACGGAGAAACGGUCAAGAUUCUGACGGGAGGAAGCAGGGGGGAAUAUUGCACAAUGGGCGCAAGCCUGAUGCAGCAAUGCCGCGUGUGUGAAGAAGGCCUUCGGGUUGUAAAGCACUUUCAGCGGGGAGGCGGUACCCGCAGAAGAAGCACCGGCUAACUCCGUGCCAGCCGCCGCGGUAAUAC
rnacentral:rRNA from 1 species